rnacentral:rRNA from 1 species
UACGGGGGGGGGCAAGCGUUGUUCGGAAUUACUGGGCGUAAAGGGCUCGUAGGCGGCCAACUAAGUCAGACGUGAAAUCCCUCGGCUUAACCGGGGGAACUGCGUCUGAUACUGGAUGGCUUGAGUGUGGGAGAGGAAUGCGGAAUUCCAGGUGUAGCGGUGAAAUGCGUAGAUAUCUGGAGGAACACCGGUGGCGAAGGCGGCAUUCUGGACCAUUACUGACGCUGAGGAGCGAAAGCCAGGGGAGCAAACGGG